GGGACAUUUGCUGGGGCAGUGUUUUGCAUAGCACAGUAAUAGUGCAUUGACAGCGCACAGAUGAUUCACGCAUCCUGCAUCAGCCCUUCAAUUUUUCAGAGCCUUUCUCAUCCGCUUAUGUGGCAAGCUGUCCCAGACAAGGAUUUCUAGUUUCUAGCCAAGCAAGCCCUCCCUGCUCAGGCCAGAUGCAUACUGCAUAUGAACAGUUCCUGGAAUGAUGCGACUGGUUUCUCGCCGUGCUCGACCAGAGCUGCUGGAGUUUGCCCGCACCCUCCCUGGCCCUGAGCUGCCAUGGCCACCCCGGCAUGAGGUGCACUCGCCAGCUGCAAUGAAAUACUGCGGUACGGAGGGGGCCAGAGCAAACAGAUGUGUACGAGUGACUGCGCGGUUACCGGCUCGAGCAGCAGCUCUUCGGCUUUGUCCUAGCUGGCCUUCACUUGAGCAAACUGGCAGGAGCAUCAUCACCCACGGGCAGGCGGGUCGAUUCUUUUCUCCCCACCAAACAGAAGGCCGUAAGAAUCGUG
rnacentral:lncRNA from 1 species